GAUGAACGCAAGCGGCAGGCUUAAUACAUGCAAGUCGAGGGGCAUAGUUCAUCGGAACUAGAGACCGGCGCACGGGUGCGUAACGCGUAUGCAAUCUACCUUUUACAGGGGGAUAGCCCAGAGAAAUUUGGAUUAAUACUCCAUAGUAUGCUAGAGUGGCAUCAUUUUAACAUUAAAGUUCCAACGGUAAAAGAUGAGCAUGCGUCCCAGUAGCUAGAUGGUAAGGUAACGGCUUACCAUGGCGACAAUCGGUAGGGGUCCUGAGAGGGAGAUCCCCCACAAUAGUAGUGAGACACGGACCAGACUCCUACGGGCGGCAGCAGUUAGUAAAAUUGAAAGAUGGGCGCAAGCCUGAUCCAACCAUGCCGCGUGCAGGAAAACGGUACUAUGGAUUGUAAACUGCUUUUGUACAGGAAGAAACACUCCCUCGUGAGGGAGCUUUACGGUACUGUAAGAAUAAGGAUCGGCUAACUCCGUGCCAGCCGCCGCCGUAACAC
rnacentral:rRNA from 1 species